rnacentral:rRNA from 1 species
CCCUUAGAUGUUCUGGGCCGCACGCGCGCUACACCGAUUCAUGCAACAAGUUUUGUCCUUGGCUGAUAGGCCUGGGUAAUCUUUGAACGUGAAUCGUGAUGGGGAUAGAUGAUUGCAAUUAUUCAUCUUCAACGAGGAAUUCCUAGUAAACGCAAGUCAUCAGCUUGCAUUGAUUACGUCCCUGCCCUUUGUACACACCGCCCGUCGCACCUACCGAUUGAAUGGUCCGGUGAAAUCUUCGGAUCUGAGAGAUGUCUGAUUAAUUUCGGACGCCUUUUGGAAAAGUUGUUUAAACCUUACCAUUUAGAGGAAGGUGAAGUCGUAACA